rnacentral:tRNA from 1 species
AUUUAUAUAGCUUAUAGAGAGUUUAAUAUUGAAGAUAUUAAGGAAGAAGUUUUUCUUAUGAAUA